AGAUUGAACGCUGGCGGCAGGCCUAACACAUGCAAGUCGAGCGGUAGAGAGGUGCUUGCACCUCUUGAGAGCGGCGGACGGGUGAGUAAUGCCUAGGAAUCUGCCUAGUGGUGGGGGAUAACGUUCGGAAACGGACGCUAAUACCGCAUACGUCCUACGGGAGAAAGCGGGGGACCUUCGGGCCUCGCGCCAUUAGAUGAGCCUAGGUCGGAUUAGCUAGUUGGUGAGGUAAUGGCUCACCAAGGCGACGAUCCGCAACUGGUCUGAGAGGGUGAUCAGUCACACUGGAACUGAGACACGGUCCAGACUCCUACGGGAGCAGCAGUGGGGAAUA
rnacentral:rRNA from 1 species